CUAGUACGGGAGGCAGCAGUGGGGAAUCUUGCACAAUGGGCGAAAGCCUGAUGCAGCGACGCCGCGUGCGGGAUGAAGGCCUGGUUGUAAACCGCUUUCAGCAGGGACGAGGUGAAAGUGACGGUACCUGCAGAAGAAGCCCCGGCCAACUACGUGCCAGCAGCCGCGGUAAUCUAG
rnacentral:rRNA from 1 species